UACCUUGUGGUAUGCACAUAAUAAACUAUUGUAUUACUCUAUUACGUUUAGCGUGUAUGUUUACAUUGAGUAUCUGUCAUAUGUGGAGAUGUUGUUAUUGUUGUCUAGAGUGUGAAUCAUUGUAUGUUAUAUUGAAGUAUCGGUAAUAAAGUGUAUACAAAUAAUGAAUACAGUUGUUGAAUAAUCAUUACAGAGAAAGAUUCUCACAUUGGCGACGAGAACGGUGAACAGUGCAUGUGAAAUUAGUUUAAUUUCGGUUCGGGAAGUGUUGUCUUUGGAAAAAGAAAGAGAUGAGUGGUGUGUGUGUGUGGUGCAUGCAGAGUGGUGAUGACCUCCAGGUGAUGACUUGUGAUUGAAUUUCAACAUUGGAAUCAAAAAGGUACAACCACAAGUAACGGCCAAGUAAUUUACCAAAAUGCCGAGCAGAGAUGGAUGACCAAAUGGAUGACUGUACUUCUAAUUUUGAUGUGAGACUGAAGCGAGACGUUUAUAAACUGAGGAGACUAUAAGCGAAACAACGUGGAGUGACCUUGCUGCGGAUCUGGAGAAAAAACGAGAUGUGGUACCUUGUGGUAUGCACAUAAUAAAUUAUUGUAUUACUCUAUUACGUUUAGCGUGUAUGUUUACAUUGAGUAUCUGUCAUAUGUGGAGAUGUUGUUAUUGUUGUCUAGAGUGUGAAUCAUUGUAUGUUAUAUUGAAGUAUCGGUAAUAAAGUGUAUACAAAUAAUGAA